UGAACUCCUGGGGUUACCACAUCCA
rnacentral:piRNA from 1 species